CGCAUCUGUGCAUGCAGCAUAUCAAUAAGCGGAGGAAAAGAAACUAACAAGGAUUCCCCUAGUAACGGCGAGUGAAGCGGGAAGAGCUCAAAUUUGAAAUCUUAAAGGGUUUCCCUUUACGAAUUGUAGUUUAAAGAAGUGUUUUCUGUUGAGGUUUUGGUAAAAGUUCUUUGGAAUAGGACAUCAUAGAGGGUGAGAAUCCCGUAUUUGACCUUUACUUUCAACUUUGUGAUACACUUUCAAAGAGUCGGAUUGUUUGGGAAUGCAGUCCAAAAUGGGUGGUAAAUUUCAUCUAAAGCUAAAUAUUGGCGAGAGACCGAUAGCGAACAAGUACCGUGAGGGAAAGAUGAAAGGAACUUUGAAAAGAGAGUUAAACAGUACGUGAAAUUGUCAAAAGGGAAGCGUUUGACACCAGUGUUGUUUUUCUGAAAAUCAAUUAAAGAACUGUUUAUGCUAAGUUGUUUAGACUUUAUCAGCUAACUGUUUAGUUUUGAGCUUUUCUUUAAUGCACUUUUCAGUUAACAAGUCAACAUCAAUUUCUUUUGCUGUAAAAAAGCUUGAGGAAGGUGGCUUGAGAUUCGUCUUAAGUGUUUAUAGCCUCUUGCCUAUGCAGUCGGAGAGAUUGAGGUCUGCAGCGUAGAUCCUUCGGGGCUAAAUGCAUUUGUGCUAAGUUAUAGCAUUUUAUAGACAACUUGUUGACUAUGAUUUGUCUUGUAGCUUACUCGCUUAUGUUAUUUUACCUACGCUUAGGAUGUUGAACGCGCACAGAGUCUC
rnacentral:rRNA from 1 species